rnacentral:miRNA from 1 species
UACAGCAUAGUAUCAGCACAGUGCAGUCCAGCACAAUACAGUACAGGAUCAAUACAGUACAGCACGUACAGCACAGUACAGCACAGUACAGCACAGCACAGUACA